rnacentral:tRNA from 1 species
GCCGGGGUCGCCUAACCCGGUAUGGCAACAGUCUGAACAACUGUACCUGAAAAGGUCUCAGGGUUCAAAUCCCUGCCCCUGCG